rnacentral:lncRNA from 1 species
UAGAUGGCCCAAGGCUGAGAUGUAGUCGUCUCAUGAUUUGAGAACAUAAACAGACUAAACUAUGCAGAUUUAACCCAUUUCUCUAACUCUGAUAAGCUUAAAGCAGCUACCCCCAAAUCUUUUAAAUUCUGGGACUUGCUUUGAAAAGUAACAAAGCCCAUUCCUUUGAUAGCUGUUAGUGACAUAGUUGUAGAAAUGCAG